rnacentral:rRNA from 1 species
GAUGAACGCUGGCGGCGUGCUUAACACAUGCAAGUCGAACGGAAAGGCUCCUGCUUGCAGGGGUACUCGAGUGGCGAACGGGUGAGUAACACGUGGGUGAUCUGCCCUGCACUUCGGGAUAAGCCUGGGAAACUGGGUCUAAUACCGGAUAGGACCACAUUUUGGAUGGUGUGGUGGAAAGUUUUUCGGUGUGGGAUGAGCUCGCGGCCUAUCAGCUUGUUGGUGGGGUAAUGGCCUACCAAGGCGUCGGCGGGUAGCCGGCCUGAGAGGGUGUACGGCCACAGUGGGACUGAGAUACGGCCCAGACUCCUACGGGAGGCAGCAGUGGGGAAUAUUGCACAAUGGGCGCAAGCCUGAUGCAGCGACGCCGCGUGGGGGAUGACGGCCUUCGGGUUGUAAACUCCUUUCGCUAGGGACGAAGCGUUUUUGUGACGGUACCUGGAGAAGAAGCACCGGCUAACUACGUG